GAGGGUAUAGCUCAGUGGUAGAGUGUGUGCUUAGCAUGCAUGAAGUCCUGGGUUCAAUCCCCAGGACCUCCA
rnacentral:tRNA from 1 species